AGAGUUUGAUCCUGGCUCAGAAUGAACGUUGGCGGCGUGGAUUAGGCAUGCAAGUCGAGCGAGAAUCUGAUUGUUGAAGCUUCGGUGGAUUCAGUCAGAGGACAGCGGCAAACGGCGUAGUAAUGCGUAGGUACGUACCCUCAGGUCGGGGAUAGCCACGGGAAACUGUGGGUAAUACCCGAUAAUGUCUGUGGACCAAAGGUGUGAUUCCGUCUGAGGAGCGGCUUACGUGAUAUUAGCUAGUUGGUGGGGUAAUGGCCUACCAAGGCAACGAUGUCUCGGGGGUGUGAGAGCAUGGCCCCCACGACCGGAACUGAGACACUGUCCGGACACCUACGGGUGGCUGCAGUCGAGAACCUUCCGCAAUGGGCGAAAGCCUGACGGAGCGACGCCGCGUGCGGGAUGAAGGCCCUUGGGUUGUAAACCGCUGUCAGAGGGGAUGAAAUCAUGGUGGGCAAUCCCUCCAUGUUGACAGAGCCUCAAAGGAAGCACGGGCUAAGUACGUGCCAGCAGCCGCGGUAACACGUACUGUGCGAACGUUAUUCGGAAUCACUGGGCUUAAAGGGUGCGUAGGCGGUUUAUCAAGUCAGAUGUGAAAUGCCUGAGCUCAACUGAGGCACUGCGUUUGAAACUGAUAGACUUGAGUAUUCCAGGGGUAUGCGGAACUGCCAGUGGAGCGGUGA
rnacentral:rRNA from 1 species